GGAAGACUGAGUCCAUUUCUUCUGAGGCAGUAAGCUCUGACCACCAGCCUCCCCAGCCACUUCAGUUUUGCAAUCUAACUAAUGUGGGAUGCUGGAAUGCUGCCUAGUCUUGUUGGCUUGAUCUUGUGCAGGUCUUGUGUAGAUAACCACAGCCACAGAGAGGUCAUCUUCAAGCAUGUCAAUAAUAUGUUCUCAUUUAGUUGUUCUGUUUUUUUUUUUUCACCCCUUUUAUGUUCUUCAAGAGAGUCAGGGAUGUGUGCCAUCAUCUCUGUGUGCCAAGCAUGCCAUCCUCACUUCCUGACACAUAUAGUCAUUUCUUCUACACUCUGUCACUUAAGAGACAUUUAAAUGUUGCCAAUUUCAUGGGCUAGACUACCAUGAUCACAAAGCUGGGGAACGCCCCCUUAUUGACUUUACAGUCAGUCACAUUGCACAAGACAGAGCACGGACAGUGCUGGGUUUGCCUAGGCUGGGGUUUGGUGGGGUUUGAUGCAGAUAAAACGAAGCUGUGGGAGCCCGGGUCUGGAGCAGUCGCAGGCAAUAAAUAAUUGAUUGCCUGCUCAGUGUAAGUAUAAUACGUGGUGACUCUCUUCGGUGGUCGGCGGUGGAGGAAAUGAAGUUUCUCUUGUGAACUGGUAAGUAGAUUCUCUCUCUGUGUGUUGUUGAUUUGCUGAACAGUGUGUUUAGUAUAUAAUGGUAAAUCCCACCCGUGUGUGUGUAUGUGUGUGUGUGUGUGUGUGUGUGUGUGUGUGUGUGUGUAGUUUUUAGAGGCAGCUUCUCUCACUGUUGUGGAAUUUGCCAAAUAGCCCAGUAGGUUAGGCUGGCAGGCCAGCAAGCCCUGGGAGUCCUCCUGUUUCUGGGGUUAUAGACAUGGAACACCAUACUUACAUCUUUCACAUGAAUCCUGGGGAUGGAACUAAGGUCUUCACACUUGGUGACAAGCACUAUACUAACAGGGACAUCUUCCCAGUCUGAUUCCAUAUAUUUUUAAAGUUCUGAAUUACAGACAUGUAUCCCCAUACUUGGCAUUUUUACAUGAAUUCUGGGGAUGGACUUUAGCUCUUCAUACCUUGUGGCAAGCACUUUACUGACUAAAAUAUCUCCCUAGCCCGAUCCCAUAUAGUUCCAAAGCUCUGGCACAAAAUAUUGAAAGCUUAUGCUUCGCCUGAAAAUCAAGAUGUAGUCUGCUUUCACAAGGCUAAAAUGCCUCUCACCUGGCACUGGUGGAUGGCUGGUGACAUGGGGACAAUUCUCCUUGCUACCUCUAUCUAGUGGCAGCUCGGCUGGAGUUUGGAGAGUUGCCAGUUCCUGCAGUAAACUUUGGGUAAACACUGCCCGCUUCAAUACUUUAUCUCUGGAGUCUCAGGGCUGGCCGGCUGGCCUGGAAAUGGUUUCCAGAGCAGGUAUUGCUCACUCGGAGUCAGAAAACCCACAGGCAGCUGUGGAAAACAAAACAGGAUGUGGGACGGAGGGUCUGCAGGAACAGCCUCUUUCUGGGGCGGCUGCCAAUGACAGCAGGGUCCUGAAGAAGAACAAAGAAGCAGACACAACUGGUGACCAGGUCUUAGGACACCUGGGCAUCCUUUGAGGGUUAGGGUCGAGGGAAGAGGAAGUGUUGGCAGUUAAUCCAAGUUAGAAGGUAAUGUCAUAACCCACGGAAUCUCCAGGAGACGACAGGAAAUCACUUUCAAGGUAAACAAAGGGGCCUGAGUUAGCUUUUAGAGGCGGAUAGCAAAGCCUCAAACAUUUUGAAGGAUAAGAUAAAAAGUCUUGGAAGCUAUAAAGACACAGAAAACGAAGGAACAAAGAAAACACUCCUUCAAAAACCGAAACGUGAUCUUCUCAAAGUCGGCUAGAGAAUCUGCAAAGGAAUCUUGGAGGUGGGAAGUCAUGCAUUUUUAAUCUCACCAUUCUCUCGGCUUCUCUGCUUACACCUGGUGAACGAAAAUAGAGUAGGAAGGAAGAUAGGACAUUCACCCCGCUUCGUUUUGGAAUUUCAGAGAGCAAAGUCACUUGAUUUGCCAGCGCUGUGCAGGACUACAUCCUUGCACCCAUUCAAUAGGAGCCCACCUAAAGUCACCGUUUGGGGAAGUGGAGUAGCCAGGGUGGGGUGGAGAAGCUUUGUUAGUGCAGAUGUUGCUGCUGAGUCCUCCCUAGGGUUUGGGCUGUGGUAAAAUGGUGCUUAAAGGGCUCACCACAAAGUGCUACUACUUUGCCUGCUCUGGCUUCUUUUAAUGUUCGUAGUUUCUUUUCUAUCCUCCGAUGAACAAGCGUGUGAGAUACCUGAGAGCAGAGACGCCAUCAAAAUUGUUCUCUUCUGACUCUUAUGGACAUGAAGGCCCCAUGGCUGGUUCAGGGAACCCACUCCAUAGAGCGGUUUAGCAUGUGCAAAUAGUGUCUUCACUAUCGAUUGUUAGUGAAAAUUAUAUUCCCUUACUUGUCGCCCAAUGGAAUGUUCUAGAAACUGCCUAUGUGCGGGAAUGUAGCAGGGGUCAGACAAUAAGAAACAAGGGAAUCCAUUUGAUUUUGGAUGGAGGAACACUUCAGUCAUCCAGGAGUAAGUGGUAUCUGGCUCUCAGAUGAGAGGCACCAUCUUUGGAAGGGGAAGCAUCUGAGUGAACAUGAUAUAUACUGCAUGAUACCUCACACCUUCCAAGUGAAAAUCUUAUGUUUGCUCAUCUAAUACCUCCAAGAGAGGGAAGCCAUAGUCUACAGCUAUACAUCAUAGAAAUGGCCACUGUGUGCACCAUGUGUGUCCAUGCGUGCAUUUGAGUGUGUGUGUGUGUGUGUGUGUGCGUGUGUGUGUGUAUUGUUUAGUUGGAGGAGCUAUCAGGAAGGGCUACUUGUGGACUCACAUCAGAACCCAGGUCCCCUUAUGCUCUUUGGUUCAAGCUCUUCUCCCUAAUUGUGGGGGUGCUGGAAGUUGACAUUUCCCUCUGGUGUACAACCUCAUGGUGGUAAGAUAAGAGUGAGAAUUUGAAAGAAUAGCUUCAUGGAAGAUGGGGGAACAUGUUGUUUGCGAGAUGGGACAAGGGUCAGACAUCAUGGUGAACAACUAGAAGUUGAAAGACAAUGCGACUGGAGCGCAAAUCAGACCGGUGGCCAGAGACCCUGAAAAUAGGAAUCUGGUUCUGUGUUUUUCCUCUCCUUUCUCUUUUCCUCUAAAGAAUGUGUCCAAGGAGCUGAGCCACUGAGAAGCAGGGGCCAUUUAAGGACAUUUUCUUUACAAAUAUGAGAGACCAGCCAUGAAGUGCUGGCAGGGGCAGGAUGGGUGGGGUGUGUGUAAGAAUCCCAGAAUCCUUCCCUCUGCUGCGUGGCAGGCACAGACUGUAGACACACAGAGGCCCUCCUGCUUCCAUGCCACAAGACACAGGAGGGGAAGAUGUCUACAGACCCACCUACUACCAUGCCACAGGGGCAGGUUGAAAACACUUACAAGGUCCGCUUGCUGUCACCCCCCCACCCCCUACCUCACAUGGACAGAGGAGUUCAUCCAGAGGCCUGCAAGCCACAUGUUCACCUGCAGUGGGAGCUACAAGAUGCAAAUAUGUGGUGGACAGAUGGGAGAGAAAGAAAGCUGAACAGUUUGAACAUUAUAAAAAAGGUGGAACUGGAGAUACGACGGUGGAGAGGAAUAGUCUGCUAUGAGUAACUAGGCCCUGUUGCCUGAGGCCAUGAUGAAGCCUGUGCUGCCUCAGAGGGCCACACUAGGGUCCAGGGCUAUCCAGUGGUUCAUAUUACCAUUAGAGACCAUAGGGAAGUCCCUGGUCUGGGCACUACAUGAUGCCCAAGGUUUGGGCAGAACUGGCCCCACCUCUCACUGGUUUCUGCACACUGAGGAACUGUCCUUACAUCUCACUGGGCAGCACAAUGGUGCUGACUCUGGAGGUGUAGGUGAGCCAAUCCCAAGGGCAUGAGUGCUGGCCCUGCCUCUUGCUAAUGGCAACAUUGGGUGGCCACCAGAACAGGGCAGGAGUGCUAGCCCUAAUGCUACAGAUGCGGGAGAGCCAGGAGGCAGAUCAGCUCAGGUACCACACAGGCCCAGACCCAGAGCUUUGAGUCAGCCCACUCCAAGAUCUACAUCAUCUGUGAACUGUUGGAACACAUGAUAGGGUGUGCCCGGCUGAUCCAAAGCUGCAGGAUCUCUGAGACACAGGGCAACAAUAGGAUAACCAGGAAGAGUUCCAGUGAGGAUCCAGUACUGAAGGUGUUACAGAAGCCAGCAAUCUCGAACCAGAUCAAUGACUCAUUGCAAUGAAGAUUUGCAAGUGAAGAUGUAUGGACAGCGGGAUAUCCUGUGGGACACAUUGUGACACACAACAGCUUCCACAACAAAAUGUAUUCUCUGAUGUUUGUUUUGUUUAUUUGCUUGUGUGCUUUUAUUUUCUUUGGGAGGGAGGUUGCAAGGGUGGAGGGUGGAUAUGAGGGGGUAGGGAGAUGAGUGGGACCGGAGUGCAUGAUGGGAAAGUCACAAAGAAUCAAUAGAAAGUUAAAAAGUAUAUGAGACCAAGGGAGGUUACACAUCUAUCAUGUUUUUCUUUGGAGGCUGUCAUUGUUUCCUAUGAUAGAGAGCCAAGCUUUAUCCUGAUAAAGCAUUUAUGUGAUAGAAAAGUCAAGUCGUCAGGUCCCCAGUGUGACUCUACUUGGCACAAGAUAUGGUGUGGCUUUCUGUGUCUCUGGAAGGCUUGAUUUUUAACAGAGUCCACUUAUAGACAGUGGCGUACAUAUAAACAUACUGGAGCACUGAAAUGAUGGUUUGAUCAAUGGCAGACUGUAUAUUCCAUAUAGUUCAGGUGUAUCAUAGGUUCUACCAUUUGAAUAUGUGUAGUUUGUGUCAAUAUCCUCUGAAUACUUAUACUGCAACAAUAUCAUUGGAUGAUGAAUUGUCUCUUAGAAUGUGCCCUGUCAUUAAGUAAUAUUUAUUUAUAGUUAUGUGACAAAGCUAAAGUUACUGUGUAAACAAAUAGCCAUGGUGUUUGGGGAGGUGGGAAAAAUGUGUCUCCAUUCUCAUCCAAGCAAAAACCGAAGAACCAUGCAGAUGAGUUGUAAUUUCUUUUCCCUACACUUUAUCCCAGAUGGAGUCCUAGCAGGAACAUGUAGGGGCCUCAUGUGUCUAAGGACAGGUAGGAUAGUGGUUAUAUAAGAACAAGUUUGAUUUAAACAUUAUACAUACAUGUGUGUGUGUGUAUCUGCUCUUGUGUAUAUACACACACACACAUAUACACACAAACACAUACACAUAUAUAUGUAUACACACACACAUAUAUAUAGUGUUGGUGGCCAAGGUAUUUACAUAUCUGGUAGUACCUCGAUCACUGAGCUAUAUUGCUAUCCCUGAACUUGUAUUUUUGAGAGUUCUAUGUCACGUUAACCUAUUAAUAAAUUGACUUCAGUUAAGAUGA